rnacentral:rRNA from 1 species
AUACAGAGGCCAAGAGCGUUGUUCGGAUUUACUGGGCGUAAAGGGCGCGUAGGCGGCAUGGCGUGUCGGAUGUGAAAUCUCCGGGCUCAACCCGGAAAGUGCGUCCGAAACUACCGUGCUGGAGUAUGGGAGGGGGAAUCGGAAUACAGGGUGUAGCGGUGAAAUGAGUUGAUAUCCUGUAGAACACCGGAGGCGAAGGCGGAUUCCUUGAACAUCACUGACGCUGAGGCGCGAAAGUCGGGGGAGCAAACAGGAUUAGAUACCCUGGUAGUCCCGACCCUAAACGGUGCACGCUAGGGGUGGGCCCAUUUCACCGGGCCCGUCCCUCAGCUAACGCGUUAAGCGUGCCGCCUGGGGAGUACGGCCGCAAGGCUAAAACUCAAAGGAAUUGACGG